rnacentral:rRNA from 1 species
GGGUUGUGAGGUUAAGCGACUAAGCGUACACGGUGGAUGCCCUGGCAGUCAGAGGCGAUGAAGGACGUGCUAAUCUGCGAUAAGCGUCGGUAAGGUGAUAUGAACCGUUAUAACCGGCGAUUUCCGAAUGGGGAAACCCAGUGUGAUUCGUCACACUAUCAUUAACUGAAUCCAUAGGUUAAUGAGGCGAACCGGGGGAACUGAAACAUCUAAGUACCCCGAGGAAAAGAAAUCAACCGAGAUUCCCCCAGUAGCGGCGAGCGAACGGGGAGCAGCCCAGAGCCUGAAUCAGUGUGUGUGUUAGUGGAAGCGUCUGGAAAGGCGYGCGAUACAGGGUGACAGCCCCGUACACAAAAAUGCACAUGCUGUGAGCUCGAUGAGUAGGGCGGGACACGUGGUAUCCUGUCUGAAUAUGGGGGGACCAUCCUCCAAGGCUAAAUACUCCUGACUGACCGAUAGUGAACCAGUACCGUGAGGGAAAGGCGAAAAGAACCCCGGCGAGGGGAGUGAAAAAGAACCUGAAACCGUGUACGUACAAGCAGUGGGAGCACGCUUAGGCGUGUGACUGCGUACCUUUUGUAUAAUGGGUCAGCGACUUAUAUUCUGUAGCAAGGUUAACCGAAUAGGGGAGCCGAAGGGAAACCGAGUCUUAACUGGGCGUUAAGUUGCAGGGUAUAGACCCGAAACCCGGUGAUCUAGCCAUGGGCAGGUUGAAGGUUGGGUAACACUAACUGGAGGACCGAACCGACUAAUGUUGAAAAAUUAGCGGAUGACUUGUGGCUGGGGGUGAAAGGCCAAUCAAACCGGGAGAUAGCUGGUUCUCCCCGAAAGCUAUUUAGGUAGCGCCUCGUGAAUUCAUCUCCGGGGGUAGAGCACUGUUUCGGCAAGGGGGUCAUCCCGACUUACCAACCCGAUGCAAACUGCGAAUACCGGAGAAUGUUAUCACGGGAGACACACGGCGGGUGCUAACGUCCGUCGUGAAGAGGGAAACAACCCAGACCGCCAGCUAAGGUCCCAAAGUCAUGGUUAAGUGGGAAACGAUGUGGGAAGGCCCAGACAGCCAGGAUGUUGGCUUAGAAGCAGCCAUCAUUUAAAGAAAGCGUAAUAGCUCACUGGUCGAGUCGGCCUGCGCGGAAGAUGUAACGGGGCUAAACCAUGCACCGAAGCUGCGGCAGCGACGCUUAUGCGUUGUUGGGUAGGGGAGCGUUCUGUAAGCCUGCGAAGGUGURCUGUGAGGYAUGCUGGAGGUAUCAGAAGUGCGAAUGCUGACAUAAGUAACGAUAAAGCGGGUGAAAAGCCCGCUCGCCGGAAGACCAAGGGUUCCUGUCCAACGUUAAUCGGGGCAGGGUGAGUCGACCCCUAAGGCGAGGCCGAAAGGCGUAGUCGAUGGGAAACAGGUUAAUAUUCCUGUACUUGGUGUUACUGCGAAGGGGGGACGGAGAAGGCUAUGUUGGCCGGGCGACGGUUGUCCCGGUUUAAGCGUGUAGGCUGGUUUUCCAGGCAAAUCCGGAAAAYYAAGGCUGAGGCGUGAUGACGAGGCACUACGGUGCUGAAGCAACAAAUGCCCUGCUUCCAGGAAAAGCCUCUAAGCAUCAGGUAACAUCAAAUCGUACCCCAAACCGACACAGGUGGUCAGGUAGAGAAUACCAAGGCGCUUGAGAGAACUCGGGUGAAGGAACUAGGCAAAAUGGUGCCGUAACUUCGGGAGAAGGCACGCUGAUAUGUAGGUGAAGCGACUUGCUCGUGGAGCUGAAAUCAGUCGAAGAUACCAGCUGGCUGCAACUGUUUAUUAAAAACACAGCACUGUGCAAACACGAAAGUGGACGUAUACGGUGUGACGCCUGCCCGGUGCCGGAAGGUUAAUUGAUGGGGUYAGCGCAAGCGAAGCUCUUGAUCGAAGCCCCGGUAAACGGCGGCCGUAACUAUAACGGUCCUAAGGUAGCGAAAUUCCUUGUCGGGUAAGUUCCGACCUGCACGAAUGGCGUAAUGAUGGCCAGGCUGUCUCCACCCGAGACUCAGUGAAAUUGAACUCGCUGUGAAGAUGCAGUGUACCCGCGGCAAGACGGAAAGACCCCGUGAACCUUUACUAUAGCUUGACACUGAACAUUGAGCCUUGAUGUGUAGGAUAGGUGGGAGGCUUUGAAGUGUGGACGCCAGUCUGCAUGGAGCCGACCUUGAAAUACCACCCUUUAAUGUUUGAUGUUCUAACGUUGACCCGURAUCCGGGUUGCGGACAGUGUCUGGUGGGUAGUUUGACUGGGGCGGUCUCCUCCUAAAGAGUAACGGAGGAGCACGAAGGUUGGCUAAUCCUGGUCGGACAUCAGGAGGUUAGUGCAAUGGCAUAAGCCAGCUUGACUGCGAGCGUGACGGCGCGAGCAGGUGCGAAAGCAGGUCAUAGUGAUCCGGUGGUUCUGAAUGGAAGGGCCAUCGCUCAACGGAUAAAAGGUACUCCGGGGAUAACAGGCUGAUACCGCCCAAGAGUUCAUAUCGACGGCGGUGUUUGGCACCUCGAUGUCGGCUCAUCACAUCCUGGGGCUGAAGUAGGUCCCAAGGGUAUGGCUGUUCGCCAUUUAAAGUGGUACGCGAGCUGGGUUUAGAACGUCGUGAGACAGUUCGGUCCCUAUCUGCCGUGGGCGCUGGAGAACUGAGGGGGGCUGCUCCUAGUACGAGAGGACCGGAGUGGACGCAUCACUGGUGUUCGGGUUGUCAUGCCAAUGGCACUGCCCGGUAGCUAAAUGCGGAAGAGAUAAGUGCUGAAAGCAUCUAAGCACGAAACUUGCCCCGAGAUGAGUUCUCCCUGACUCCUUGAGAGUCCUGAAGGAACGUUGAAGACGACGACGUUGAUAGGCCGGGUGUGUAAGCGCAGCGAUGCGUUGAGCUAACCGGUACUAAUGAACCGUGAGGCUUAACCUUACAACGCCGAAG